rnacentral:rRNA from 1 species
AACGUAGGAGCCAAGCGUUAUCCGAAUUCACUGGGCGUAAAGCGCGUGCAGGCGGCUGGGUAAGUUGGAUGUGAAAUCUCCUGGCUCAACUGGGAGAGGCCGUUCAAUACUACCUGGCUUGAGGGCGACAGAGGGAGGUGGAAUUCCUGGUGUAGCAGUGAAAUGCGUAGAUAUCAGGAGGAAUACCGAUGGCGAAGGCAGGUCUCUGGGCUGACACUGACGCUCAUGCACGAAAGCGUGGGGAGCAAACAGG